GACUGAUAAAAACACCCGGCUUCACUCUUAUUUUGCCAUAUGUUUUAGGAUGCAUGAAACUGAAUAAUGUAAAGUUUCAACGAGAAAAGAAAGCACACAUUUUAAAGACUGUAGAGCAAGUUACUAGAAUAAUACUGUAUAUGUUUCAAAACAUUCGUUCAUCUCAGUGAUAUCUCAAGUUGUUUUGAUCAUUUCAACACUUCGCCAGUGCUUUGUUAUCCAUUAAAAAAAAUCCUUGAUACGUGGUUGCUUAAACACAUAGCUGCUAUAGACCAUGUUCAUCACAAAGAUUUGUUCGGUGUAUCGUUUUACAAGUUCAUAAACAACUGCAAAACACCAAUUCCUUCAAAGGGGCGUAUCUGUUCAGCAGCCCAACCAAUGAACUGCUCCAUCACAUCUCGUUCUCGAUUGCUAUUGGCUGGUACUAUGUUCAGUAUUAGAAGUCACGUACUUCAAUUGAGACAGACUGCAGCAAGGUUCAGGAGAGAUACUUCACUUUCAUUUCUGGAGAGGCAAAGAGAACAAUACCAUAUUCAAAAAAUUCACAGGAGUUUUUCUUCUGUACUUUCUGACUGCAGUCAGGUACAGGACUCUUGAAAGAUGUGAAUGACACUGUCAUAAGCAGGUGGUGGAGUCUGUCUGGGUAGGAAACCCCUUAGACUGCCCUUCCCCAGCCAGAAGGACUCCGCUGGUUCUGCACUAAAUGGAUCUGUGAUGUUAGGAAGUAAUGCAGCUUGGUUAUCAUCCUCUGUUUCAUUGCCGGUCUUCUUGGUCUUUUUUGGUGGCGGCCGAAAAGUGGAGUUCUGAAAGCUAGGGCUUCUACCCAGCAGCUCAUUGGGGUCCACAGAGGUUUGUCUGUGGAGGGGCAGAACCACUCUUCCUGCAGAUUCACUGUUCUUGUCGAAGCCGUGACUCUUGUAAUGUCUGAGGUGGCAGUGCUGAUUACGUGUGCCUUUAGAUUCUGACGACUGGGUUUGACGUCUGGUGAUCCUGACUGAAGCUCUCCGUCUUGACAUCCAUGUAAGGAGGAGGAAAAUCAAGAUCCCGAUGAGUAGACCAAUUAAUAUCGACAAGCAGAACGCCAGGAUGAGCUCCUCUGGGUGGAAAGGUUAUUGUAUUUUGAGUAUAUAAAAUCAAUACUAUAUACUAAAAACAAUCUUUAAUACAUAUUGAAUAAUAGAGUUCAAUGUUUACUUAAAUUUAUACACACACACCAAGAUGUUUUUUAAGUUGUAAGUAAAACAUAUUACUGGUCUUUCCACUUAAA